GACGAACGCUGGCGGCGUGCUUAACACAUGCAAGUCGAACGGAAAGGCCCUGCUUUUGUGGGGUGCUCGAGUGGCGAACGGGUGAGUAACACGUGAGUAACCUGCCCUUGACUUUGGGAUAACUUCAGGAAACUGGGGCUAAUACCGGAUAGGAGCUCCUGCUGCAUGGUGGGGGUUGGAAAGUUUCGGCGGUUGGGGAUGGACUCGCGGCUUAUCAGCUUGUUGGUGGGGUAGUGGCUUACCAAGGCUUUGACGGGUAGCCGGCCUGAGAGGGUGACCGGCCACAUUGGGACUGAGAUACGGCCCAGACUCCUACGGGAGGCAGCAGUGGGGAAUAUUGCACAAUGGGCGGAAGCCUGAUGCAGCAACGCCGCGUGCGGGAUGACGGCCUUCGGGUUGUAAACCGCUUUCGCCUGUGACGAAGCGUGAGUGAGGGUAAUGGGUAAAGAAGCACCGGCUAACUACGUG
rnacentral:rRNA from 1 species